GUGCUCACUCGAGCGGUACACAUACAAAACUGGAACAAUACAGAGAGGAUUAACAUGGCCCAUGUGCAAGGAUGACAUGCAAAUUUGUGAAGCAUCCCAGUUUUUU